rnacentral:miRNA from 1 species
AGGUGUGGUGUCUCAAUGCUC